rnacentral:lncRNA from 1 species
GUGAGACCUUUUACUCCCUGAAUGGAGUCUCCCAGGACGACGCUGAUUUCUGAAUUUUCCUGUUUAUUCACUAGCCAGCACAACUUUAUUAGGACCCCACAAGGCUUCUUCUGCUCUGUCACCUGCAAUGGAGACUCAUUUAGGCAGAGAGAAACCUUGCAUGGUUGUGAUUCAAGGAGCACUCUAAUUUCCUUUCAACGCCAGUUCCAAUUAUGGAUUGCAGAUGAGACUGAGGCACAGACGUAGGAUGCUGAAAGAGCAUGGAAGAACCUAGCAGAUGAGAGCAAGGAGCAGCAGAAGGUGGCAGCACUCUUGCUCCACACCCAGACUCUGCGCAAUUUACACAUGGGAAAGAUUGGAAAGGUCAUGUGACGUCAGCUUGGCCCACACAUUGGAAUGGGAAUCUGUUGGCAAAGUGAAAAUUAUUGGUCUCGCAAAACUGAGAUGGGAACAUCGACCUGAAAAGAAUGCAUCUUAUGGUUUUUACAAUGCCAUUUAGGAAUAUGACAUGAAUAUCCCAAAGUACAGAUGUAAGAAUGUGAAUUUUAAGUUCAAUAGAGAAGAAGGGAGAGAAAGAGAUAGAAAGGAGGAGAGGAAAAGACAGCAUGCCAUUUUUCAAGACGUAACUCUUAGCAUCUCUUUUUCUUUCCCGGAAAGUACUGAAUAUUGAUAAGAAUUGUGAAGACUCUGAG